AAAGUUCUGUCGGGUGGUGCUGCCUCACAGACCAACGGGUCCGCUGCUUUCUGAGCGGGGAAAUUGAGGCACAGUGGACCCGGGCUUGGACUCCAGGCUCAGUGCUCUGAUCAGUUCAUCGUUCGAAGCCUCUGGCAGACGAGAAUUCAGGCUGCACAUUCCAGCGGCGAGAAGACGCCUAGAGUGAAUAAAUAAUGAGAUCGCCACGGUUUGGGAGGCAAAAGAUCUCUAAAUCCUUGAGAUGAUUGCAACGCAAUCCUGAAAGCUGAUGGAGAGGGGCAAGCAUGCUCUCUGACGGGUCUUCUGUUUGUCAUGGCUGCACCACACUGACCCUUCACCCUCCCAGUCACCCGGACACCCCCCGCCCCUCUCUGGCACGCACGCAUUGCCCACAAGGUAUGCACGCCUUCCCUGUGGCUCCCCCGUUCCCGCUGCAUGCUGGGUCCACUGGCUGCUCCCGGUGCCUGAGCCUCCAAAGCUGGGAUAGUCAGCCGGGAUACAAAGCUGGGGUUCGAAGCGGGCUCCGCAACCCUCCCUGCCCCCGCCUUCCCGGAGGCUGUCCCCGACGGUCAGGAUUUCAGAGAAACAGUGGGUAUAAGUUGGCCAAGUACUGGAAGAGCCAGAACGAGCGAGUGAAGCACACCUUUCCCUCGCGCCAUGGGCCAGCACUCGAGAUGCAAACUGGGGCCAAGGAUUGAGUUACUCCUGCCUUGUUUGCUUCUUGAUACUUCCCUUUUCUUGCUCCAGUCCAUUUCUCCCAUCCACUCCUUCCAUGGGCAGCCAUGUUUCUUUUUGUAAGUAUGGGUCUUGGGAUCUUUUCUUUCUUUCUCUUUUUUUUUUUUUUAAUUUUUUUUUUCAACGUUUAUUUAUUUUUGGGACAGAGAGAGACAGAGCAUGAACGGGUGAGGGGCAGAGAGAGAGAGAGACACAGAAUCGGAAACAGGCUCCAGGCUCCGAGCCAUCAGCCCAGAGCCCAACGCGGGGCUCGAACUCACGGACCGCGAGAUUGUGACCUGGCUGAAGUCGGACGCUUAACUGACUGCGCCACCCAGGCGCCCCUCUUUUUUUUUUUUUUUUAAGUAGGUUCCACGCUGGGUGUGGAGCCCAAUGCAAGAACUGAACUCACAACUCUGAGAUCAAGGCUCGAGCUGAGAUCAAGAAGUAGACGCUUAACCAACUGAGCCCCCCGUGUGCCCCUUCUCGCAGGCGUUUUAAAAUUGAUGUCCGGGAAUCCCGUUCGCAAACUCACCUAUUUCCUGCCUUUCACCGAUGCCCCCUGUCCGGGUUGCUCAGAAUGUUUCUUGCCUGCGUGACUCCAUGAAACUCUCCCGUGGGCGGCAGAGGCCCGUGGCUGUCUCCAGGGUUACCACAGACAGUGCUGCGGGAACAUUCUGCCAGCUCCUCCUGGACGAGUGAGGGUUUUGGUGGGUGCAGACUCAGCAGAAUUACCCUUGCGGGGGGUCUCCAGUCCCCCCGCGUGCAGGAGGGAGCUUUGCCCUCACAAGCGACAUGGACUCAGAACCGUCCACCUUCUCAACUCGAAUGGCGGUCCAAUGACAGGCGUGGAGUGGACACACAUUGCCGUGUGUUUGUGUUUUUCUAAUAACUGGUGCGUCGGAACACUUUUCAUAUGCCGGUUAUGAUUCUGGGUUUUCUUCUCUGUACCUUACUGGGGUUCCUGUCUCUUUUUGUUUAUUCAAACUUACAAGGCCUUUUGCGUAUUCUAGAUAUUAGUCCCUUGCUGACUGUAGCCGUUAGGAAAAUAAAUAACCUCUUAAUCCGUCA
ensembl:lncRNA